GCGGUUGUGGCGGAAUUGGUAGACGCGCAACGUUGAGGGCGUUGUGGGCCCAGCCCGUGGAGGUUCGAGUCCUCUCAACCGCACCA
rnacentral:tRNA from 1 species